GGGGCGGUAGCUCAGUGGAUAGAGUGGAAGAUUGCAAUCCCAAUUGCAAGCAUCUUUAGGUCGCCGGUUCGAUCCCGGCCCGUCCCU